rnacentral:rRNA from 1 species
CACGUAGGGGGCUAGCGUUGUUCGGAAUCAUUGGGCGUAAGCGCGUGUAGGCGGUCCGGUAAGUCCGCUGUGAAAGUCGGGGGCUCAACCCUCGGAUGCCGGUGGAGUACUGUCGGGCUUGAGUACGGAAGAGGCGAGUGGAAUCCUGGUGUAGCGGUGAAAUGCGGCAGAUAUCAGGAUGGAACACCAAUUGCGAAGGCAGCUCGCUGGGACGUUACUGACGCUGAGGCACGAAAGCGUGGGGAGCAAACAGG